GCCAUACUCCUCCGAAACGGCUUGACCGAUUUUUAUGAAAUUUUUUGUGCUUAUCCGGUAUCUAUGAGAAUCGGCCAACAUCUAUUUUUCAUCCCCCUAAAUGUUAGGGGUAGUCCACCACUAAAUUUUUUUUUUUAAUUUUUAGACAAAAUUUUUAAUUUCUAUUUUUUUAUGAUACAACAUACAAAAAUACAUACAAUCCUCAAUUUUCACUCUUCUACGAUCAACCCUUAUUUUUUAAUAGCCAUUUUAGUAAUUUAAUCAUUUUUCCUCUCCGGUCGAAAACUGAUCAAUCGUCAUUUAAUUAGUUAUCCCCGCCAGAUGUCUACAGGUGUCACUUCUGACCCAGUAAACAGCAUGGAGUAUGGAUGAGAACGAAGCCGGUCUCCUUUCUUUCUUAAUCCCUACACAGUUGUCAGCCAUCAUUAUUGUUUAUGUAUCAAGUGUAGUAGUAACGUUGACAAUUAUUAUUUUGCUAUCUCAGUGUAACUCUCAUAUUAACUUUUAAUCAUUCCUAUUUUAUCAAUAAUAAUUAAAUUAUCAAUUUUGAGUGUAUUUUGCACGAUUAGUUAAUCAAGUGAUUUUAUAACCUCAAAAGUACUCAACAUGUGACACGAGCUUCCAAUAACAACGGAUUUUGUGUUUGAGCAAUGCCAAGAAAACGCAAAGGGGCUGAUUUGAGCCGCAGUACAAGUAAAGCUCGAAACUUGCGAAAUAGCAGAUCCGAAAGAACAGAAGAACAAAUCCAGCAACAAAAUACUGAUGCACGUGUUAGAAUGGCGCAAUUGCAUCAAGAAGAGCUAGAAGAUACACGAGCUGAACGCAAUGAAGUCAGAAGAUUAGAACAACGACAAUCACGCCGUUUCACAGUCAAUAGACGAAGAACAAAUGACCAACAACGACAACAGGUACAUCGAGCAUUUAUAUCUGAUUCAUUCCUGCGUCUAGCAUUCCAGUAUGAGCCCGAUAUUGAAUAUCAUGCUCAUUCAAAAGUGGUAAUUGGUGC